rnacentral:lncRNA from 1 species
UUUACUCAGAACCUCAAUCACCAACAACUGAGAUCUUUUUUUCUUACAUUUAUGCUCAAAGAUAUAGGGUUCAUCACAGUAAUAGCAUAGACCCUUCUCUCUUUUUUCUUGUAGUUCUGUUGCUGAAAUAGUUUUGUGUGAUUUAGGUCCAAUCUAGACUUUCUGUAAGGGUAUUGCAGGAGUAUUAGUAUUAGGGAGAUUUUGGAUUCUUAUGGAUAUA